AAUUUUGGACAAUUGGCGCAAGCCUGAUCCAGCCAUGCCGCGUGAGUGAAGAAGGCCUUCGGGUUGUAAAGCUCUUUAAGUUGGGAGGAAGGGCAGUAAGUUAAUACCUUGCUGUUUUGACGGUACCGACAGAAUAAGCACCGGCUAACUACGUGCCAGCAGCCGCGGUAAUACGUAGGGUGCGAGCGUUAUUCGGAAUUACUGGGCGUAAAGCGUGCGCAGGCGGUUGAUUAAGACGGGCGUGAAAUCCCCGGGCUUAACCUGGGAACUGCGCUUGUGACUGGUCAGCUAGAGUACGGCAGAGGGGGGUGGAAUUCCACGUGUAGCAGUGAAAUGCGUAGAGAUGUGGAGGAACACCGAUGGCGAAGGCAGCCCCCUGGGCCGAUACUGACGAUCAUGCACGAAAGCGUGGGUAGCAAAAAGG
rnacentral:rRNA from 1 species